UUCUUCAAAACUGCCAUGGGAAUCAGGCUGCUUUGUGGCGUGGCCUUUUGUCUCCUGAGAGCAGGCCUCGUGGAAACAAAGGUAACCCAGACUCCGAGACAUCUGGUCAAAAGGACAGGAGAGAAGGUUUUGCUGAAAUGUUCACAGGACAUGGACCAUGAAAGAAUGUUCUGGUAUCGACAAGACCCGGGUCUGGGGCUACGGCUGAUUUAUUUCUCAUAUGAUGUUGACAAUGAUGAAAAAGGAGAUGUCUCUGAGGGGUAUAGUGCCUCCAGGAAGAAGAAGGAGUAUUUCCCCCUGGUUCUGGAGUCUGCCAGCACCAACCAGACAUCUGUGUACCUCUGUGCCAGCCGUUAUCCACAGCGCUGCACGGCCACAUCCCCUCUGCACAAAAAGAGCAGAC